rnacentral:sRNA from 2 species
CAUUCCGGUAUGUCUCCCGAGCGCAGGCUUCUGUCUGGUAGUGGCCUCAUCAUAACCAAAUGGCUACAAAGCACACAUUCGUGCAAUGUAUGGUAACACAACGGAGCGAACGUAAGGCUGGGCUGUCCAGGUAGUCAUGACCGGACCUGCAUGCGUACGAGCGCGAACUGCUUGCGUAGCAAGUUGCUUUUACACGGGAUGAGCCGGUUAGAUGCAAUUGACCGACACGACAUGAGCAAACAGACCCGUGCCAGAUAUGCAACCAAUAAAACGCAAACUUGAAACACAAUUCGAGCAGCAAAUGCAUCGGCCAACAGGUACGGAAUAAUACUUACACUUGUUUCGUGUCUCUCAUUGCCACAUUGAGUCAAACAGAUUAGUUAUGAGCUCCUCAAUGUAGAUUUAUUAGCUUAUCAGCUCAAUGUCUGCUGCGGAUUUGCAGAAAUAGCACAGCAAAUCCUCAUUCAACUUCCAUCAAAAACAAUCAUCACUAUCGCAUUGCCGAUCACCAGCAUUUCCAGCAUUUUCAUAUUCUUGUAUCGUUUUUUGUAAAGGCACUGGCCUCAAUACCUCCGAAGCUUUUCCUUCAAGCACAGGAAUGGGAUGUUGACGUCAGAUUAAACUUCUCGUCAUGCAUAUGCCAAGCACACUAAACCAGAGCUUUCGAUGCGUAGUGAUGCUCUAUUACGAGGUGUAUCCUAGUUAUAUCCGCUGUCAGGUGCCUAAUAGUUAAUGAAUGUUGAUAGAGACCUCGCAGAGUUCGGGAGGAUGAUUUCUAUCCAAUGACCUCACACGUCCUUUAGGCUCAGAAGAUCGCUAUUCAGCAUAGGAAUAUGCCGGAAUUCUAUUAGAAGAAAAUAAGUUCUCGUCAGAUUGAAUAAUAUUAUUUGGUGAAAUUGGAUAAUCAGUGGCCUUGUCCCAUGCGCAUAGAGAUAAUAAGAAAUGCUCAGUUUUUGCGAAUUGGUUUAUAGAGCGCAAGUAGAAAAUAAAAUAAAAUAAAAUAAAAUAAUCGGGAAAAAUAAUAGUGAUAAAUCACAAACCACAGG